CGACACAUGUUAACAAUUUUAUAAGGAUCAAACAAGUGUCUUACAACAUAAAAAUAAGAACAAUGAAGAACCCAUGAAUUUUCAAUCUGCAAAAUUUGACUGAAUCGAGCAGUAAAACAACUCAAUUUGACACCAACAAAACUAGCACAACAUGCCCAGAGUUGGAUGAAUUUACAUCAAGACACAAACACCUAAAAUUCACACGAAACAGGUGUUGAUCCGUGUUCAAUUACUAUUCAAAUUUUGACGCAAACAAAUUCAGAACAACAACGACAAAUUACUUCUAACAGAUCUUCGCGAGCGAUUACACACUCUUAGGUUUACUCAAGACACUAUCGGGCUUCUUCACCACCUUUACAGUAGUCUUCUUUGUCGCUACCUUAGCAGGCUUUGCCUUGGGCUUCGCAGUUGCAGCAACGGAGGGGAGAUCGCAAUAACAGGAGAGGAGAGCACAGAUGGAGUGAUUGCGGUCGUCGUGGGGUGGAUCUGGAAAAAUAAAACGAUCGUGACAGAAAGGAGAGCACAAAAUGGAGGGAGAUUGCGAUCGUGGUGAAGUGGAUCUGAAAAAAUGAAGGGUUACGUGAAUCGCUGUAGUGCAUGUUGUCGAUCAGGAAAGCAUAGAGGGUUGGGUUGCGGAGGAAGCGGGAGAAUUGAAGGAGGAUGGGGAGAGAGAAGGAAGGAGGAUGGGAACAAUAAAAUCAUGUUUUGU
rnacentral:lncRNA from 1 species